ACAAACCAAACCCACUGAACAACUGCAGUUCUUCCCAGAGGUACCUUACUGGAGAUGAAGCUCACCUUUCCCUUUUGGGUGUACAGGCAGCUGCUGCUGUCUCUCCUAUUCAAACAGCUUCCCAGUGCUGUGAGCCUGUUUGAGGGUGACUAUAUUACUGAAGCAGAUCUCUCUCUCUGCAUCUUGAACAUACCAGCUCUGACUCUGUCCUAUACCCUGGCAGAAAAAUACACCCUACCUUCCAUGUUGCCUGAUACAGCACUGGAGGGACUCUCUUGAAGAAAGUGUGGGUGACACCAGUGGAGAUGUAUUUAAAUUUGCCUGGGAACUUAGCCCUAUUUCUAGUGAAGAAUAUAUUGACUUCUUUUUUUCUACUGGGUCACAGUUGGUCAGCAAUGAGGGAACUUCAAAGAAGCUGCAAGUCCAUUUUGGAUCUGUCAAAGAACGAUAUAAUAUGUUUCCUGACAGAUGUUUACCCUAAAACAUCAAGUGAUCGUUUCUGAGGAAAGUAAGUGAGUAAAAGCAAAGCCUGUCACCUAGGAUAUGUCACAAUGUGAAUCCUGAACUCCCAGUGUGAUCUGAACUCUGGCAAUGCCCAAGGAUAUUGCCUUUUGAGAUUUUUAGUU